UGCCUGCCCAAUGAAUAAGAAUUAUUUAAAUGGCUGCGGUACUCUGACCGUGCAAAGGUAGCAUAAUCAUUAGCCUGUUAAUUUCAGGAUGGAAUCAAUGGCAAGACGAAGAAAAGACUGUCUCUUUUCAUUAAUUUUGAAUUUUUCAUUAUGGUGAAGAGGCCAUAAUAUAAAAGUGGGACAAGAAGACCCUGUUGAAUUUUAGUAAUUUGGAAGAAUUUUUUUUUUGAAAAUUACUUUAGUUGGGGUAACUAUUAAUAGAAUUAAAUAUUUUAGUAAAAAAAAGAAUUGAAUCUAUAAAAAACUAUUAUCCAAAAUUUAUUUUUGAAAAUAGAAAAAAUUACCACAGGGAUAACAGCGUAAUUCUUUUUAAGAGUACUUAUUGACAAAAGAGUUUGCGACCUCGAUGUUGGAUCAAGAUUUCCUGAAGGUGCAGCAGCUUUUAAGGGUUGGUUUGUUCAACCAUUAAAAUCUU
rnacentral:rRNA from 1 species